rnacentral:rRNA from 2 species
AAUUGACCUCGGAUCAGGU